AUGGUUUUGGUGUUAAAUAAAAAAAAAAAAAAAAAAAAAUCUGUUCUUAUCAGUUUAAUAUCUGAUACGUCCCCUACCCGGGGACUACAUAUUAAAUUGAUUUUUGGAUCACGGAGCUGGAGCCGGGGCGUUUGCUCUGUCCACUCCACGCAUCGGCCUGGUAUUGCAGUGUUUCCAGGAACGGUGUGCUUCCC
rnacentral:snRNA from 1 species